GAGGGUGUAGCUCAGUGGUAGAGUGUGUGCUUAGUAUGCACAAGGUCCUGGGUUUGGUCCCCGGUAGCUCCA
rnacentral:tRNA from 1 species